rnacentral:rRNA from 1 species
AUACGGAGGGCGCGAGCGUUAAUGGGAAUUACUGGGCGUAAAGUGCGCGUAGGCGGCUUGGCAAGUCUCUUUUGAAAGCUCCCGGCUUAACUGGGAGAGGUGAGGAGAAACUACCUGGCUUGAGGGCAGCAGAGGAAAGCGGAAUUCUCGGUGUAGCGGUGAAAUGCGUAGAUAUCGAGAGGAACACCAGUGGCGAAGGCGGCUUUCUGGGCUGUACCUGACGCUGAGGCGCGAGAGCGUGGGGAGCAAACAGGAUUAGAAACCCCAGUAGUCC